GACGAACGCUGGCGGCGUGCUUAACACAUGCAAGUCGAACGGAGAGGCCCUGCUUUUGUGGGGUGCUCGAGUGGCGAACGGGUGAGUAACACGUGAGUAACCUGCCCUUGACUUUGGGAUAACUUCAGGAAACUGGGGCUAAUACCGGAUAGGGGCUCCUGCUGCAUGGUGGGGGUUGGAAAGUUUCGGCGGUUGGGGAUGGACUCGCGGCUUAUCAGCUUGUUGGUGGGGUAGUGGCUUACCAAGGCUUUGACGGGUAGCCGGCCUGAGAGGGUGACCGGCCACAUUGGGACUGAGAUACGGCCCAGACUCCUACGGGAGGCAGCAGUGGGGAAUAUUGCACAAUGGGCGGAAGCCUGAUGCAGCAACGCCGCGUGCGGGAUGACGGCCUUCGGGUUGUAAACCGCUUUCGCCUGUGACGAAGCGUGAGUGACGGUAAUGGGUAAAGAAGCACCGGCUAACUACGUG
rnacentral:rRNA from 1 species